CAGUCUAAUCCAAGAAAAGAAACGAAAGAUAAUACACAUAGAGUAUUAAUGAUGGUAAAGGUGACACAACUACAGAAAAAAUUAAUAAGAAUGUGGUUGCACAUACCUGUAAUCCAGCUACUUGAGGGGCUGAGGCAGGAGGAUUGCAAGUUCAAGGCCAUUCUCUGCAAGUUAGUGAGAUCCUGUCUCAAAAUAAGAAAGGGCUGAGGAUGUAGGUCAGUGUUAAGAGUGCUUGCUUAUCAUGCACAAGGCCCUGGGUUCAAUGCCUGCACAGAAAUAUUCAUUUCAGUUUCAAAAUGUGUAAAAAUAUAGAAGGAUUACAUUUUUCUCUAAGAAUGCGUUACAAUUGACUUGAUACAGUGGAACCCAAUAGAGAGAGAGAGAGAGUGUGUGUGUGUGUGUGUGAGCUCCCCUUUUUUGUUCUCUUUUUUUAAGAACAAGAAAAUCUGAAAACUGUGUAGCUAAAAGCUUUAGGGAACAGAUAAUCCUUAACAAAAUUUUAACAAUUCUGUACAGCUAAAAUAAUCCUGAUAAUAAAACUAGACAAAGAUAGCUCCUAAAAAGCAAAAUCUAGACCAGCUUCAUUAAUGAAGAUUGUAUUCUUCACAACUCUAGUAUUCAUUACAAUACCAGUCUUCAUUAAUAUGUUAGUGAGUUUCCCUUCCCAAGCACCAGAUGUCUCCAGACCUGUGAUUAACACAGUAUACAGCCCAAACCCCCAAUGUUCUUCACAUGUUUUGUCUCAGGGAAUACUAAUUCUCGAUGAUAUUUGAAAAUAUUUUCUUGGAAAAGUAUGCAAAUGAGCAAGUCAAAGAAACAAAACAAAAUCUCCUGCUUCGGGGGAUUCCAAGUACAUGUAAUCAACUUUUCAAAAGAUGUAGAAAAGAAAAUUUAUUUGAGUGUAUCUAAAAUUUAUUUCAUUGGGAAUUCUCACUUCCAAUAUCUGUUAAGACCUUUGGUAUAUGAGCACUUUGGUAGCAGCUACCCUAACCACAAGGAUGUCAUUUCAGACAUGGGAAUGACUGAUUGUAUUGCAGGGGGUGAGGUGGGGAACUUUUCUUUGCAGCUCUCAUCAUACUCUACAGAAUAGAAAAGAUCGCAGCCUCGUCCUGGACAUGUAUGUAUGAAACAGGCUCAACUAUUUGGUUACACUGUCAUUAGGAUGUAAAUAAUUUUUCAUUGUAAUAAAAUCCUAUAUUGAAUACUAUUUUGCCUAGUUUUGGGUUCUCUUAGAGCCUACAGUCUCUGCAAGGUGUUAUCUAGAGGUGAGGUUGAUUAUUAUAGGCUGUAACUACUUCCAGCUUCACCACUUAUUGCCAGAUUUUUACUCCAUUGUACCAGUUUUGAAUCUCUUCAGUCACUGAAUCUGAGUUCAUAUUUUUCUAUAUCUUCUAUGGGUUUCAGCAUUUAUUUUCCUGAUUACAGAUAAGUUCAAACAUCUUUUAAUGUAUGUUUACUUUACUGUGCUUUUUUUAUUUGUGUGCUUGCUUUAUUUCUUUUAGAUUACUUAUCUCAUUGAUUUUCAGGAUGCUUAAAAUAUUCC
rnacentral:lncRNA from 1 species